CCAUUAACAUUUCUGCAUGUUUACGCUCUUCAUGACUGGCUUCAUUUAAAAAUUUAAAAACUCCUGGUGCCGCAACAUCGCUGCGAUCGAAGUGAAAGGCCUAGAAAAGAUAAAUGUUUUAUAAUGGAGCCACAUGCAAAGGAGUCAUAUUAUCUUCACUACGACAAUUUGGAUCAACUAAAAACAUUGAUUGCUUAAUCGUCUUUCUAAUAACUUUCUUAAUAUGUAAAACACUUACCUCCCAUGCUCAGGAACCGUUUUGUAACAUCUAUAGCCAAUUGUUUGUUCUGCAUGCCGCAGACAUAGUGUAGCGGUGCUAUGCCCCGGUCUUGGGGAACAUAAGAAGGAUCAAUUGCUUUACUAUUGCGCUCCAAUAUAAAAUUGAUAUCACUUUAAAGAAAAUAAUUGUUACUAAGACGAUAUAUAUUUAAAUUAUUUAAUCCACCUUUCAUUUUCAUCCUCUAAGGCGUCUAAUAGAAUCAAUGAUAAAUAA